AUUGAACGCUGGCGGCAGGCCUAACACAUGCAAGUCGAACGAGUGGCGGACGGGUGAGUAAUGUCUGGGAAACUGCCUGAUGGAGGGGGAUCACUACUGGAAACGGUAGCUAAUACCGCAUACCAUCAGAUGUGCCCAGAUGGGAUUAGCAAGUUGGUGGGGUAACGGCUCAUUAAGGCGUCGAUCCCUAGCUGGUCUGAGAGGAUGACCGGCCAGCGUGGAACAUGGACACGGUCCAGACUCCUACGGGAGGGAGGAGUGGGGAAUAUUGCACAAUGGGCGCAAGUCUGAUGCAGCCGUGCCGCGUGUAUGAAGAAGGCCUUCGGGUUGUAAAGUACUUUCAGCGGGGAGGCGUUACCCGCAGAAGAAGCACCGGAUAACUCCGUGCCAGCCGCCGCGGUAAUAC
rnacentral:rRNA from 1 species